rnacentral:ncRNA from 1 species
UUAAAAAACACUCUAGCCUCUGCGCCUGGGUCAAUGAAGACAUUGAUAUGGCGCUUUGGCCGUGACAGCGUAAACGCGUUGCCACCAGGGUGCAGGAAGAAAUGACUGCGCCUCCCGUACUGGAAAGGUGUCUAUGGCCUC